GAUCUAGCUUGCUAGAUGCUGACGAGCGGCGGACGGGUGAGUAAUGCAUAGGAAUCUGCCCGGUAGUGGGGGAUAACCUGGGGAAACCCAGGCUAAUACCGCAUACGUCCUACGGGAGAAAGGGGGCUCCGGCUCCCGCUAUUGGAUGAGCCUAUGUCGGAUUAGCUGGUUGGUGAGGUAAUGGCUCACCAAGGCGACGAUCCGUAGCUGGUCUGAGAGGAUGAUCAGCCACAUCGGGACUGAGACACGGCCCGAACUCCUACGGGAGGCAGCAGUGGGGAAUAUUGGACAAUGGGGGGAACCCUGAUCCAGCCAUGCCGCGUGUGUGAAGAAGGCCCUCGGGUUGUAAAGCACUUUCAGCGAGGAAGAACGCCUGGUGGUUAAUACCCAUCAGGAAAGACAUCACUCGCAGAAGAAGCACCGGCUAACUCCGUGCCAGCAGCCGCGGUAAUACGGAGGGUGCAAGCGUUAAUCGGAAUUACUGGGCGUAAAGCGCGCGUAGGUGGCUUGAUAAGCCGGUUGUGAAAGCCCCGGGCUCAACCUGGGAACGGCAUCCGGAACUGUCAAGCUAGAGUACAGGAGAGGAAGGUAGAAUUCCCCGGUGUAGCGGUGAAAUGCGUAGAGAUCGGGAGGAAUACCAGUGGCGAAGGCGGCCUUCUGGACUGAUACUGACACUGAGGUGCGAAAGCGUGGGUAGCAA
rnacentral:rRNA from 1 species